rnacentral:piRNA from 1 species
UGGUUCCAAAGCGAAUUCUAGGACAGC